UCCCGGUUAACCCGGGCAGUCUCAUUAAAGUGCCCAACUUAACUUGCUGGCAACUAAUGAUAAGGGUUGCGCUCGUUGCGGGACUUAACCCAACACCUCACGGCACGAGCUGACGACAGCCAUGCAGCACCUGUGCAAAGACCCUUGCGGGCUAUACUGUCUCCAAUAUAUUCCUCUGCAUGUCAAGUCUGGGUAAGGUUCUUCGCGUUGCAUCGAAUUAAACCACAUGCUCCACUGCUUGUGCGGGUCCCCGUCAAUUCUUUUGAGUUUCACCCUUGCGAGCGUACUCCCCAGGCGGUACACUUAACGCGUUAGCUCCGACACAACUGGGGUUGAUUCCAGUUACAUCAAGUGUACAUUGUUUACGGCAAGGACUAC
rnacentral:misc_RNA from 1 species